UACGUAGGGGGCGAGCGUUGUCCGGAAUGAUUGGGCGUAAAGGGCGCGUAGGCGGCUUGAUAAGUCUGGAGUGAAAGUCCUGUUUUCAAGAUGGGAAUUGCUUUGGAUACUGUUAAGCUUGAGUGCAGGAGAGGUUAUCGGAAUUCCCAGUGUAGCGGUGAAAUGCGUAGAGAUUGGGAGGAACACCAGUGGCGAAGGCGGGUAACUGGACUGAACUGACGCUGAGGCGCGAAAGUGUGGGGAGCAAACA
rnacentral:rRNA from 1 species